rnacentral:rRNA from 1 species
AACGAACGCUGGCGGCAUGCCUAACACAUGCAAGUCGAACGAACCCUUCGGGGUUAGUGGCGCACGGGUGCGUAACGCGUGGGAACCUGCCUUUAGGUUCGGAAUAACUCAGAGAAAUUUGAGCUAAUACCGGAUAAUGUCUUCGGACCAAAGAUUUAUCGCCUUUAGAUGGGCCCGCGUUAGAUUAGAUAGUUGGUGGGGUAAUGGCCUACCAAGUCGACGAUCUAUAGCUGGUCUGAGAGGAUGAUCAGCCACACUGGGACUGAGACACGGCCCAGACUCCUACGGGAGGCAGCAGUGGGGAAUAUUGGACAAUGGGCGAAAGCCUGAUCCAGCAAUGCCGCGUGAGUGAUGAAGGCCUUAGGGUUGUAAAGCUCUUUUACCUAGGGAUGAUAAUGACAGUACCUGGAGAAUAAGCUCCGGCUAACUCCGUGCCAGCAGCCGCGGUAAUACGGAGGGAGGCUAGCGUUGUUCGGAAUUACUGGGCGUAAGACGCGCGUA